rnacentral:tRNA from 8 species
GGGUCACUAGCUCAACUGGCAGAGCAGCGGACUCUUAAUCCGGAGGUUCAAGGUUCGAUUCCUUGGUGACCCACCA